rnacentral:sRNA from 1 species
AGGUAGAGAGUCGAGAGAUACAGAGAAAAGAGAACAGUGACUAGUAGUUCAUUACAAGAAUUUGUUGAUGCUGGUUGCUAAAGUGUCUUUAGAGACAGCACCGAUGAUUGUAUCCUUCUUCUCACCAUUGACAAA